AAAUGAAACGCACGGUACCCAAAUUCUACGCUUAAUCGUCGAGUCCGCCAUCGCAUCUUCAUGAUCCCAGGCAAAAUUGGCUUGUCUAUGACCUCCUUCAAAGCUCUCCUUGCCAUUACCAUCCCUUCAUUUCCACCUUCCAGCCCUCGCUCCCACAGCAUAACCUUGGUCCUUCCUCCCACUGUCACCAUCUUAUAGACCUCACCACCCUCCCUUUCACUGCCUUCAGUUGCCUCGCCACUGCUGACAUUAAUCCCGUCCUAUCCUCGCAGCUGAACGUGACCUUUACCGCCCCCUUGUUUGUUCCCUUUUGUUGAGCGCCCGCACCCUUUCUUCUUUUCUUUCCCCUUCACUGUCCGCGACAAGUGCACUGUCAAUACCAUCCUAGCCGCAAUCUCUGUUCAAUCUGCCGCUAGAAAUCAGCCGCCACCAAGGUCCCAAUGUUCUACCUUAGCCGAAUCGAGCACACCUUUCGCGUACCGCCGAGUCUCCUUAGCCUUCCUAUCGAGGAAGCUGUCAAGGGAGAGCUUGAAAGACUUUUCUUGGAUAAGGUUAUCGCAAACUUGGGGCUUUGCGUCUCCGUCUACGAUAUCAAAUCUAUCGAAGGUGGCUUUAUCUUUCCCAGUGAUGGUGCCGCAACCUAUACGGUUGUCUUCAGACUCAUUAUGUUUCGUCCAUUCGUGGGAGAGGUUAUUGCUGCAAAGCUUAAAGAAUCUAAUGCUACAGGUUUACGCUGUAAUUGAGAUUUAGCAUAGUUAUGUCAUACUGAUGUUGACUCUAUACAUGGCAGUAUCACUUGGGUUUUUUGAUGACAUUUAUAUACCUGUCCAUCUUUUACCAAAUCCAUCCCGCUUCAAGCCUGACCCAAAUAAAAGGGACAAAGGCAUGUGGGAAUGGGAGUAUGGUGGAGAACCAUAUGUUAUUGACGGGAUUGAUGAGAUCAAGUUCCAAGUUCAUAAUGUAAGUUAUCCUCCAAUUCCCAUUGAGAAGCCAAAAGAAGCUAAGCCAUUUGCUCCGAUGGUGAUUACUGGAUCAAUUAAUGAUGACGGUUUGGGGCCCAUUUCAUGGUGGGUUGGUGCAGAACAGACUGACGAAUCUUAAGCCCUUGGGCUCUCUUGACAAAGCAAGCCAAACUGGCCGAGAAUGGCUGUAUUAUGAAGCGACGGUGGUUGUAGGAUGUUUUUGCUGAUUCUUUAGGAGCUGAAACAAACAUAACGUAAGAAAAUUAUAACUAUUGUUACUAUGCUUUGUGUAGCAAAUGGUAUCAUUUUGCCUUCCUUGAUUGCCCACGAAGGGUCAAACAUAAUGUAACUUUGAGUAAUGUUAUUCAUCAUCUCAAUUUCAAUCAUCCUUUCAUCA